UGCGAUUUUUCAUCCAAUUCAAUCAUAUAUAUGCUCAAAAUCUUCGCGGUAAGUUUCUCUUCACCAUAAAAUUUGACCGAAUAAGUUUCAAAACAAUGCGACGGCAAAAAAUGCAAAAAUCCUGAUUUUCGUAAUAGAAUCUAUAGUCUUUUUGCCCUGCUGUACCGCCAUCUUGGAUUUAUCAUGUAGGCCCCGCCUGCGCUAGGUAUGCGUUAGCAAUCUAG